UAUUAGGAAUAAUACAUAAGACAAAGUAGCCCCUUACUUUGUCUUGUGUUUUUCAUUAGAAAUAGCAGGAAAAUUAAACAAAAAACAAAAAAACAGUAGGGAAUAUGUUGAGAAAAGUUAGGUAUUGUGUGGCCGUGCCACUUUAAGUUGUCAGUUCCUCCAGUUGUCGCUACAUGUUGUACAUGCAUGAAAAUACAGCAAUGACAUCACUCCACUUGGGACCGCUUCAGGCAAGUAUAAUUGCCCUCCACUCUACUCCCAGGCCUUAGUGAGCCUGAGUGACCCCCAAGUAAACAUAGCCACUUUAAAAUGAUGCAUAAUCACUUUGCUGCUGCCAACAAAGCUAUAUAAUCUACUUCACCAUAUGCCCAAUUUUCAACUAUAUUACACUGCAUGCUAACCUGUCAAAACGCCUUGAUCUGUGCUGAAAUGCAAUGCAGAAAAAAAAAAAAAAAAAUUUUGACAAAGUGACUGUCACCUCAGACUUAACUUUCUCCUAUUGUUUCCUUUCUGAAUGUUUC